AUGCAAUUGGUGUCUAGUGGCCGCACUGCCAUCAACAUUAAUAGCGAGGUGGGUCCUUUCUUCCCCUCACUUUGUGGAGUCAGGUAGGGCAACCCCUUUAUCCCCUUCCUGUUCACCAUGGUGGUUGAUGCCCUGGCCGCCAUUCUGGUCUUGGCCAAGGCGGCCGGCCACAUCCGUGGCAUCAUCCCGCAUCUGGUGCCUGGAGGGGUCUCCUUCUUGCAAUAUGCGGAUGGCACGAUUAUCAUGGUCGAAGGGUCUGACAACGAUAUAGCCAACCUGAAAUUCCUCUUGCUCUGCUUCCAGCAGAUGUCGGUUUUAAGCAUCAACUUUGCUAAGAGUGAAGUUAUGGUCCUGAUAACCCACAAGUAUAGGGGAUCAGUUGUAGCCUCUUUCGAUAAGUAA
rnacentral:rRNA from 1 species